UCAAUGAAGUUCUACUUUUGUUUUUGUCGUACAUUAGUGACGGAAUCCAGGCUUCUUAACUGCAAGUGAUGGGUUGGGUUGAUGUUUGUGAACCACAGUUUAUAAAAAGAUAUCUAAACCAUUAGUCAUGGAGGAAACUUCCUUCCAAUUCUCUCAUCGUGGGACCUUUUGACAAGAUGUCAAACUCACGAAGGAAAAGAAAUAGUGUAGGAAACUUGGUGCUUGACUUACAGUCAGGACAUGAACUUAUCUCACGUCUUCUUCUGUUUCCGAUAAUUAUUCUCUGUAACCUGUACUGGUUUCGUCUUCAGUUUCAAACUUGAUCCGCUGCUUGUUUUGUUUCUUCGAAUUACAAAUCAUGGAAGCCGUUGCUGCAGUUGGAGAAGCUUUUUUCUCUGAAAUGUUUGAGGCGUUACUCACCAAGUUCAACGCUUCUGACUUGAUAAACUUUACUCAGCAGAAGAAGGUUUAUGCUGAACUCAAAAAGUGGAAGAACAUAUUGCACAGUAUCAACGCAGUUGUCGCUGAUGCAGAAGAGAAGCAAGUAAUGGAUAGGAGUGCUAAAAUAUGGUUGAAAGAAUUACAAGACUUAGCUUACCAAGUCAAGGACAUAUUAGAGGAGUUUGAUUACGAAGCUUUGCGGCGCAAGUCAACAGUGAAACAUAGUAAGGUGAAAAAGCACUGCUUGAGAGGUUUGAAAUGGAGUGGCGUGUUUAAUGUGAAGAUGGUGUCAAAGAUAAAGGGGAUCACCACAAGGCUGCAGCAGAUUGCAAGUGAAAAGAACAGCCUGAGACUUGGAGAUAAUGUUGGAGGAAAGGCACACAAAGCAAGAGAUCAUCAAAGACUGCCCACAACAUCUGUAGUCAGUGAAGUCAAGGUAUUCGGCAGGGGAAAUGAGAAGGAAGCAAUACUUAAAUCGUUGCUGGUUGAGAAAACAAGUGAAGAUGAUAUUCAUGUCCCUGUUAUUAGCAUAACUGGCAUCGCAGGGAUUGGCAAGACCACACUUGCUCAGCUGGUUUACAAUGAUAGUAAAGUCAAUGAAUUUUUCGACUUGCGAGCAUGGGUCCAUGUCUCAGAAGAUUUUGGUGUCACAGAGAUCACAAAAGCCAUUCUACAAGCUGUCAAUCCUAGCAUUUCUUGUACCACCGACUUGAAUUUGUUUCAGCUCCAGCUAAAGGAGGAGUUAUCAGGGAAGAAACUUUUACUUGUCUUAGAUGAUGUACGGCUUCAGAACUACAAUCAAUGGAGUCUCCUUAUCCGUCCUUUCGAAGUCGGGAACUCGGGGUGCAAAAUCAUUGUCACCACUCAGGAUCAAAACAUUUCACAAAUAACAGGUCCCUUAGUCCAUAAUACUCCUUUGAAAGAGUUGGCAGAUGAUGCUUGUUUGUCAAUUUUAGCUUGCCAUGCUUUGAAAAGCAAAAAUUUCAAACGCCAUCCACAUCUGAAAGAAAUUGGCCAAGAAAUAGUGAAGAAAUGCAAGGGGCUACCUUCAGCGGUAAAAGAAUUGGCAAGCCACUUGGGCGCCAAGCAGGUAUACAAAGAGUGGGAAGCUGUAGCCAGGAGCAAGAUUUGGGAUCUACUAGAAGAGAAAGGGGGCACUGUUGCUGCAUUAAGAUGGAGUUACCAUCACCUCUCCUCUCAUUUGAAGCCAUGUUUUGCUUACUGCUCUUUAAUUCCAAAGGGCUAUGAAUUCAAUAGUGAUGAGUUGGUUCUGUUAUGGAUAGCAGAGGAUUUCGUGCAACCGAAAGGGCAUAAGCAACCGGAAGACUUAGGUCAUGAGUACUUCUCCGAUCUGUUAUCAAGGUCAUUUUUUCGGAAGUCAAAUAAUAACAGCUCGUUGUUUGUAAUGCAUGACCUCAUUAUCGAUCUUGCUCAAUCUGUUGCUGGUGAUUCCUGUUUUAAUAUGGAGCAUGAACUGCACAUCGAUGAAAUGGCUCGUCAUGUUUCGUUCAUUCCCCGCCGAUACGAUGUCUCACAAAGGUUUGAAAUCUUCAAUGAGAGGAAACACGUACGAUCUUUCAUAGCACUGCCGACACCAUGUCAGAGAGGAGGAUAUUGCUAUUUAAGUAGUAAGGUACUGUACAAAUUGCUGCCAAAAUUGAAGUGCUUAAGAGUGUUAUCCUUGAGUGGCUAUUUCAUCGGAGAGCUAUCGAGUUCAAUUGGUGAUUUGAAGCUUUUGCGGUGCCUUAAUUUGUCUAGAACAGCAAUAAGAUUGCUGCCUCGGUCAGUUGGUAAUCUUCACCACCUACAAAUGUUAAUAUUAAACCAAUGCAAAGAACUUACAGCUUUGCCUGUUGAAAUUUGUGGACUGAGUAAAUUGCAUCAUCUUGACAUCCGAGAUACUCCGAAGCUACAAGAGCUGCCACCAGGACUCGGAAACUUGACCAGUCUCCGGGUAUUGCCCAAAUUCAUUAUCGGGAAAGCUGGAGGGCUGGCAUUAAGGGAGUUAAAGGAUUUGUCUCUUCAAGGUCAGCUUUCCAUUAUAGGGCUGCAUAACGUGGUGGAUAUUCAAGAUGCAAGGAUUGCCAACCUAAGGCAAAAGCAAGGCCUGAAGAAGCUAGCCCUUGAAUGGAGCAAUGAUUUUAAAAACAGAGACAACCAAAUGCAGGAGCAGGUCCUUGCGUUGCUGGACCCUCAAAAAGAUCUCCAAUGGCUGUCCAUUUCAAAUUAUGGAGCUACAAAGUUCCCUUCUUGGGUAGGGAAUCCUUCUUUUGCUAAAAUAGAGCAGCUAGACUUCUUUGACUGCAUAAAUUGCAAAUCAUUGCCAUCACUUGGGCGACUACGGUCACUCAAAAGCUUGAACAUAAGAGGCAUGCAUGCAAUGACAAAGUUGGGCCCUGAAUUUUACGGGGACGGUUUUCCAUCUUUGGAGAUCUUGAGGUUUGAGAACAUGACAGAAUGGAAGGAAUGGAUUUCAUGUGUUGGUAGCGUAGAAGGUUUCCCCUGUCUUCGUGAGCUUAUACUGCACAACUGUCCUAAAUUAGCUGGAACGCUGCCAAGAACCCUCAGUUCCCUGGUAAAACUAGAUGUUCAAAACUGCCCACAGCUAAUGAGUUCACCUUUAAGCUCCACAUGCUUACGUGGAUUAACCGUGGAGGACAGUACUAACGUAAUCCUUCCAAGAAUGGUCGGUCAAAACACCAUCACCAAAUUGAAAUUUAAGGGAAUUUCAGGCCUUACCUGCAUAACUGAGGAGCUCUCCAAGGCCUUAAUGAGACUUGAAGUUCUAGAGAUUGAAGGUUGCAGUGCACUAACGUGUUUGUGGCAGAAUGGAUCAGAAUUAGAAAACCUGCCUUGUCUAAAUAGUUUGGUAGUAAAGAAUUGUCCCGAGCUUGUAUCCUUGGUUGGAGAAAAGCAAGGGCAAGGACUAUGCCUACUCUCAUCUCUUAAAGAUCUCAGGAUUGAAAGCUGCCAAAAAUGUGUGUCCUUGCCAGCAACAGGGUUGCCUCAUACCCUAAAGUGCCUCACAAUCCUUGACUGCAAGGCUCUGGAGUCAUUACCUGACAUGAAUGACAGCAAUUCCAACUGCUGCCUUCUUGAAGAGUUAAAGAUUGUAAGCUGUCCUUCCCUGAAAUCCUUCCCGGAACCCAAAUUGCCCUCGACACUCAAGAGCUUGGGAAUCAAAAACUGCAGAAAUCUAGAGUUCCUUCCUGGUGGACGAGUGCAACGUGAUGGCAAUGAUAAUUGUGCACCGCGCCUUGAAUAUUUGUGUUUAUCUGAUUUUCUUGCUUCAGAAUCCUUAUUGGAAAGUGUGUUGCCAUUACUAGAUCUUAAAGUCCUCCGGCUAUCGAAUUGUAUGAAUCUCAGGGCCUUGCCAGACCAUAUGCCGAACUUCAACUCUCUUCAAGAACUGAGUUUAUCAGACUGUGUGGCUCUGACAUCCAUCCCAGAGGGUGGUUUGCCGCCCAACAUAACUUCACUCGAGUUCCAUAAUUGUGAAAAGCUGAAGCAGCCAAUGUCAGAGUGGGGCCUGGAAAAACUCAAUUGUCUUACAGAAAUCAAGAUUGUUGGUGCAUGCCCUGCUGCAGAUACUGAUUCAUUUCCAGCUGAGAGUGUAAUGCUUCCUUCAACUUUAACCAGUAUUUGCCUGGAAAGCCUUGAGAAUUUGGAAUGUCUAUCCUGGGAACUAGAAAACCUCAUGGCUCUCCAAGAAUUGCAGAUUAAAGGCUGCCAUAAGCUCCAGUUUCUACCAAAGACAGGCCUACCGGUCUCACUAGGACGGCUAUGCAUCUCCGACUGUCCUGUUUUACGAGACAAGUGCAGAAAAGAGAAAGGACAAUAUUGGUCCAUCAUACGCGACAUCCCUUGCCUUGAAAUUUAUUGAAAAUACAUGGUAGAUCAGAUCCGGAUAGACCUAGUACGGAGUUAGAUCGAGGAAAAGAAAAAGUGUUAGAUUAGUAGAUUUCUGUAUACGAACAAGUGACGAGUGCUCGGAAGCUCGUAAAGGUUGGAAGUCGGUCGGAGCAUCAUCACACUAUACUUCAGCUCGUUUUGGUAUAAAUAACAAACUUAUUUUGGUAUAAUGGCAUGUAUAGGUUAAAUUGCCCAAUGAUAGCAUGUAUAUGGUUGGUUGUAACUAGCCAUUGGAAUGACUAUUGAUGGUAUAUUUGAUGUUUAUGUAAGAGGUUAUAUCAUGUUUAAUAUAUAUAUGCUUGUUAUGAUAGAUUGAAUUUUGAUAAACUUAUAUGAUUAUACAAAUAGGUAAGUUUGAAAACUUAAAUACAUGUGAUGAUAUAUCAUGUAUAAGAUUGGUUUUGGCUUGGUUUUAA